GACGAACGCUGGCGGCGUGCCUAAUACAUGCCAGUAGAACGCACAGUUUAUACCGUAGCUUGCUACACCAUAGACUGUGAGUUGCGAACGGGUGAGUAACGCGUAGGUAACCUGCCUGGUAGCGGGGGAUAACUAUUGGAAACGAUAGCUAAUACCGCAUAAUAUUAAUUAUUGCAUGAUAAUUAAUUGAAAGGUGCAAUUGCACCACUACCAGAUGGACCUGCGUUGUAUUAGCUAGUAGGUGAGGUAACGGCUCACCUAGGCGACGAUACAUAGCCGACCUGAGAGGGUGAUCGGCCACACUGGGACUGAGACACGGCCCAGACUCCUACGGGAGGCAGCAGUAGGGAAUCUUCGGCAAUGGACGAAAGUCUGACCGAGCAACGCCGCGUGAGUGAAGAAGGUUUUCGGAUCGUAAAGCUCUGUUGUAAGAGAAGAACGGGUGUGAGAGUGGAAAGUUCACACUGUGACGGUAUCUUACCAGAAAGGGACGGCUAACUACGUGC
rnacentral:rRNA from 1 species